GCCAGGUUAAGUACGGCUGGAAAACAAAGGGUUUGUGAAAAUAACCGUAAUGAAAAUAACAACGGCAAAGCUGGGAAGGAUUGGCUGGAGGAGAAUCGGUAAUGAAAUAUAACUGCCAGAGAAAACUGUGGUUAAUGGAGACAUCUCCCCGGAGCGUCUGAAACCUCAGUGCCACGUUCCAGGCUGUGACCCAGACACGUCCAUCAGCAGCAGAACCGGGACAUGGCAUGGACAGCCCCUGGUCCCACCUCUCCCAUGAUCACACCCAGAGCCCUUUUCCUGCAGCCCCAGCCCUACACGUGGGCACACUCCUCUCUCGGCUCUGCAGCCUUCAGCACCUCUAACUCCUUGCUAAUCCUCUUCAGUUGACCACCAUUACAUCUAUCGACAAAUACCAUCUAACGACAACUUCUCCUCCACCUCUUCAAGAGGGAACUCAGACCCACAAACACUUCCUUCCCCCAAACUCUCUCUCCACGGAGGGCCCUGACAACAAACAACGACGUGUCAUUUGUUUUUAUUACUCCAGGAGGGCAAGCUGCUGUGCGUGACCAAGGAAACCGAGCGCUGGCUGCCCUUGUGAACUUGCUGAGCGCCUGAUGGAGAGCGUGAGGAGUGGAGAGCUGGGGGAGCAUGGAAAACAUCGCUUCCCCUCUGCUCAUUGGAGGAGGAGAGAUUGAUUGACUGUACUUGCUAUAGCGGAGAGCGCAUCGUGGUAGGCACAGAAGUGUGGUUAGCGCUGGAGAACCACUGGCCGUGGGGUGAGCACACGGCGGGGUGAGCAGCUCGGGGUGCUGUGCCAGGAUGGUGCUUUUGGUGACGUACCAAAAGAGGUGGUCAAUAAGAGCAGUUGGAUUUGCCGCGCCUGUGACGGCUUCAGCAUCGGAGUCAUUUCUAAGAAGGACAGUUUUGUGUUCACCCCAUUUGGAUGCUCUCAGCCUCCAGUUUUCCAUAAAGGUGCAGAGCAGCGUGCGCUGGCAAAGGGACAGCAGCGUGGAGGGAGAAGGGAAGGAAUGAAGGUCACAGUGUCGCGCAGCACUGUGGGACUGCUGCGGGGGCGGUGGGGGUUGAGGACAGCUCCAGGGGACGAUCCAACCCUCGUGGCACGGGGAGCGAGCUGGCACCGAGUGCCCACUGCUGCACUGCAUGCCGUGCUGGCUGCAGGGCGGGCUGCAGCUAGGCUUUACCUCCAGCACAAAAAGCACCGACCUGAUACAUCAGGCUGCAGUGUGCGGCCGCCCCUGUCUGCAGGCUCCUGCACGGGGACCUCGGCGGCUCCUGGAGGCGAGAAGUCCUUCACCCAGGGGUUGGAUCGGGUCCCAUGGCGGCCCCGUCUGCAGCAUCCCUCCCGGCUCCUCCUUCGCUACGGGAGCCCAGAGGGGACGCAGAGGGGAUGCAGAGGGGAUGCAGAGGGGAUGCAGCUGUGGCCGCAGCGGAGAUGCAGCGGGGACGCAGAGGGGACGCAGCGAGGAGCUGCAGCGGAGCGCAGGAUGCCGGCUGCCCUGCGGGGAGGCGCGGGCAGGGCCGGGGGGGCUGUUGGAGGGGAAUUGUGAAUCUACUUUCUUACACGGCUGCGUACCACUGUGCAACGGUAAUCCCCUGAGCAG
ensembl:lncRNA